GGGAAAACAUAUUAAAACCACAGCGAUGUGCCGUUUCCUGCUUGGAAGAUUGGGUGAAAAUGAGAGAACAGUGAGAUUCUGCCAGGGUCUGGGGCAACUGGCAUUCUCAUCGGAAGAUGACUUGCAUUUCCCUCUGCUUUGGCCUUCUGUUGGUUUGGAUCAACCCAUGGAGGCACCAACAGGAUGGGAGAGUGAGAAGGAUGAUGGCAACCCCCAUCUCAUCAGCCCAGUCUCCUCUUAGGAACUCAUCUCGUAUCAAGGCAGAGAUGGCUGGCUCAGCGAGGUCCUGGCUCUUAUGCACGAGAGGCUGGACCAAGGUGGAGAGCCA